rnacentral:rRNA from 1 species
UACGUAGGGUGCAAGCGUUAAUCGGAAUUACUGGGCGUAAAGCGCGCGCAGGCGGUUAUGUAAGUCAGAUGUGAAAUCCCCGGGCUCAACCUGGGAACUGCAUUUGUGACUGCAUCGCUGGAGUGCGGCAGAGGGGGAUGGAAUUCCGCGUGUAGCAGUGAAAUGCGUAGAUAUGCGGAGGAACACCGAUGGCGAAGGCAGCCCCCUGGGCCGACACUGACGCUCAGGCACGAAAGCGUGGGGAGCAAACAGG